rnacentral:rRNA from 1 species
GAUGAACGCUAGCGGAAGGCUUAAUACAUGCAAGUCGAGCGGUAGGUGGCUUCGGCCAUUGAGAGCGGCGCACGGGUGAGUAACGCGUACAUGACCUGCCUGUCAGAAGGGGAUAGCCCUGGGAAACUGGGAUUAAUACCCUAUGGUAUUGAUAUUAUGAAUGAUAUCAAUUAAAGUUGAGGCGCUGACAGAUGGAUGUGCGUCUGAUUAGCUAGUUGGUAGGGUAACGGCCUACCAAGGCGACGAUCAGUAGGGGGCGUGAGAGCGUGGUCCCCCACACGGGUACUGAGACACGGACCCGACUCCUACGGGAGGCAGCAGUAAGGAAUAUUGGUCAAUGCCCGCAAGGGUGAACCAGCCAUUCCGCGUGGAGGAUGAAGGCCCUAUGGGUUGUAAACUUCUUUUAGAUGGGAAGAAAAUGCUAGAUGUAAUCUGGUACUGACGGUAUCAUCAGAAUAAGCACCGGCUAACUCCGUGCCAGCAGCCGCGGUAA